rnacentral:rRNA from 1 species
AGAGUUUGAUUAUGGCUCAGGAUGAACGCUAGCGGCAGGCCUAAUACAUGCAAGUCGUACGGGAUGAGUCCUUCGGGACUCUGAGAGUGGCGCACGGGUGCGUAACGCGUAUGCAACCAACCCCUUUCCGGGAGACAGCCGGUGGAAACGCCGGGUAAUACCCCAUGCCGAUGCAGGAAGACAUCUUCCGGCAUUGAAAGACCUCGGUCGGAGAGGGACGGGCAUGCGUCCCAUUAGCUAGUUGGCGGGGCAACGGCCCACCAAGGCGACGAUGGGUAGGGGAUCUGAGAGGACGGUCCCCCACACUGGUACUGAGACACGGACCAGACUCCUACGGGAGGCAGCAGUAAGGAAUAUUGGGCAAUGGAGGCAACUCUGACCCAGCCAAUGCCGCGUGAGGGAAUAAGGCCCUACGGGUCGUAAACCUCUUUUGCUUGGGGACAAAGACGGUGUCGAGAACACUGUUUGCGGGUACCAGGCGAAUAAGCAUCGGCUAACUCCGUGCCAGCCGCCGC